rnacentral:misc_RNA from 1 species
UUUUUUUUUUUUUUUUUUUGCAUUUCUAAGUGAUAAUGGCAAACAACAGUUUUUCUGUUGCACAAAGAAAUUAAGACAUUCAAGUAAAAGACACAAAGUAAUUAGUUGUGGACAUCACCAGAUACCUCAUCACGUUCUCUCCUAUGGGCAUCUCUUAGAGGCGAUCGAGAUCUAUGUUUGCUCCUGUGAUUGUGAUCUGAUGGAGAAGUUGAUAGCCCAUUCCUGGCUCUAGAAGACUUGCCAUCAGUUGCAUCUCUCCCUGACCUUCUCUCCAUUCUCUCAGCUCCAUCCCUAUCUUCACCUCUUUCUCUAUGUGUAUUCUUGUCAGUAACCCUUCCAUGAUUCUUUUCAUACUCUCUCUCAGUCAAUAUCUCAGCCUCUCUUUCUCUACGUGCACUCUUAUCACUUCCCUUGACAUGACUUUUCUCACGUUCUCUCUCAAACAAUUUUUCUGUCUCUCUUUCCCUAUGCAUACCCUUAUCAUCCCCCUUGCCAUGAUUCCUAUCACGGUCCCUCUCCACUACAA